rnacentral:rRNA from 1 species
GACGAACGCUGGCGGCGUGCUUAACAUAUGCAAGUCGAACGGAAAGGCCCUACUUUUGUGGGGUGCUCGAGUGGCGAACGGGUGAGUAACACGUGAGUAACCUGCCCUUGACUUUGGGAUAACUUCAGGAAACUGGGGCUAAUACCGGAUAGGAGCUCCUGCUGCAUGGUGGGGGUUGGAAAGUUUCGGCGGUUGGGGAUGGACUCGCGGCUUAUCAGCUUGUUGGUGGGGUAGUGGCUUACCAAGGCUUUGACGGGUAGCCGGCCUGAGAGGGUGACCGGCCACAUUGGGACUGAGAUACGGCCCAGACUCCUACGGGAGGCAGCAGUGGGGAAUAUUGCACAAUGGGCGGAAGCCUGAUGCAGCAACGCCGCGUGCGGGAUGACGGCCUUCGGGUUGUAAACCGCUUUCGCCUGUGACGAAGCGUGAGUGACGGUAAUGGGUAAAGAAGCACCGGCUAACUACGUG